ACAUGCAAGUCGAACGAUGAAGCCCAGCUUGCUGGUGGAUUGGCGAACGGGUGAGCACGUGAGUAAUCUACCCCUCACUUUGGGAGCCCCGGAAACGGGUCUAAUACUGAAUAUGACCUUUCCUCGCAUGAGGUUUGGGGUUGGAAAGAUUUUUUGGAUGGGGAUGGGCUCGCGGCCUAUCAGCUUGUUGGUGAGGCGGCUCACCAAGGCGACGACGGGUAGCCGGCCUGAGAGGGUGAACGGCCACACUGGGACUGAGACACGGCCCAGACUCCUACGGGAGGCAGCAGUGGGGAAUAUUGCACAAUGGGCGAAAGCCUGCAGCGACGCCGCGGGGAUGAAGGCCUUCGGGUUGACCUCUUUCAGCAGGGGAGAAGCGAAAGUGACGGUACCUGCAGAAGAAGCACCGGCUAACUACGUGCCAGCAGCCGCGGUAAUACGUAGGGUGCGAGCGU
rnacentral:rRNA from 1 species